UAAAGGGCAAAAAGAAUCAUAAAACAUUGAUUUAGACAGAUUUCCUCCGGCUAUCCAGUUUCUAAACCUUUAGCCUUUGCAAAACUCCAAUCCAAACUCAAGCAACAAUGGCUUCAAGCCCAGCCAAACUAGUUCGCAAAUCUCCCUUGCUGUAUCGUUAUGUACAGUUUUCUCGCAAACCCACUUCACAUUUCAGUAGUGCCCCCAAAAUUCCACCUUGCUCCACUUCUAUAAGGAGUAGGGGCUUCAGCUUCAGAAGCUGCUAUCACUCAAUUUCUUUAACCUCGACUCCUGUGUAUAAAGAAUUGGGUCACUCUAAAAUUGGUUUUAGACAACUGGGUUCUGAUCAUUUUCGCCUCUUUGUUGUAUCUGAUGGUGGCUCUGGCGGGGGAGGUAGUGGGAAUAGUGGUUCAGGUGGCGGAAAUUCUGGUGACGGUGGUAGUGGUGCUGCCGGAGGUAGUGGUAGUGGCAAAAACUGGUCGUUUCUGUUAUGGUACUUGUCACUUCUUGAAAAAUAUCCUGUGUGGACAAAAGCUGUGACAUCUGCAUUUUUGACUUUCAUUGGAGAUUUAACCUGCCAGCUUGUAAUUGAACAAGUACCUUCACUAGACUGGAAGAGGACAUUUCUGUUCACAUUGUUGGGGCUGGUUUUGGUGGGUCCAACCUUGCACUUCUGGUACCUGUACUUGAGCAAAUUGGUCACAAUUCCUGGAUCAUCUGGCGCUUUCUUGCGCCUUUUUCUUGAUCAGUUUCUUUUCUCUCCCAUUUUCAUUGGAUUUUUCUUAUCUACAUUGGUAACACUGGAGGGAAGGCCAUCACAAGUAAUUCCUAAGCUUGAGCAGGAAUGGUUCUCUGCGGUUGUGGCCAAUUGGCAAUUAUGGAUUCCUUUUCAGUUCCUUAACUUCCGAUUUGUACCACAGCAAUUUCAGGUCCUUGCUGCUAACUUUAUUGCUCUAAUAUGGAAUGUGAUUCUUUCAUACAAAGCUCAUAAAGCAAUUCUUACGAAAUAGGUACCUUUUGGUUCCUUUAUUGCAAACUUGAAGCUCUGAGCAUUUGUCUUUUCUGGGUUAGCAUUAAGGGGGACCACUGUCUCCACUCCUCAUCUCCCCUGUGCAGGUUUUUGGUGACACUACCAGUAUAACCAAUAGCUGAGGCUUGAGUCACCAGGAGUACAAAAACUGUUGACGCCACUUUCUGCUCUGACACUGUCAUUUCUUUACAUGUUUGUGUUUUGCAGCAUCCAAGUUAUGUGACUCUCUAGAUUCCCUUCAACUCACUGCACCGAAGAUUGCUUGAACUUCUUAAUGUUGCUAAGGAAAAAUGGGUAGUGUAAUGACAAUUAGCAGAAUGUACUGCUUUCUUUGUUGAUUGUUCUGGUAUAUUUUUGUGUUUAGAAACAGCUGCACUAUUGGUAUGGUGAAGUUGAUUUAUGUGGAGGCGUAAGAUGGGUAGCGCAAUGACUAUUUAGUUGAUUUAUGUAUUGCUUUCUUUGUUGCUUGUUCUGCUACAUUUGUAUUCAGAAAAAAGUUGCAUUAUGGGCAUGAUGAAGUUGAUUUAUGUGGAGGCAUAAGAUGUAUUCUGUUGUAAGUGAAUUUCUAACAUCUCAUUCUUGUAAAUCCUCAUGGAGUGUAUCAAAAGUCGUGGAAUGUCCAUAUGGUAGGUGGUCGUUUGGAUUCCAA